GACGUAGGGUGCGAGCGUCGUCCGGAUUUAUUGGGCGUAAAGAGCUCGUAGGCGGCUCGUCGCGUCGACCGUGAAAACCCGCGGCUUAACUGCGGGCUUGCGGUUGAUACGGGCGGGCUAGAGUUCGGUAGGGGAGACUGGAAUUCCUGGUGUAGCGGUGAAAUGCGCAGAUAUCAGGAGGAACACCGGUGGCGAAGGCGGGUCUCUGGGCCGAUACUGACGCUGAGGAGCGAAAGCGUGGGGAGCAAACAGG
rnacentral:rRNA from 1 species